rnacentral:rRNA from 1 species
GACGAACGCUGGCGGCGUGCUUAACACAUGCAAGUCGAACGGAAAGGCCCUGCUUUUGUGGGGUGCUCGAGUGGCGAACGGGUGAGUAACACGUGAGUAACCUGCCCUUGACUUUGGGAUAACUUCAGGAAACUGGGGCUAAUACCGGAUAGGAGCUCCUGCUGCAUGGUGGGGGUUGGAAAGUUUCGGCGGUUGGGGAUGGACUCGCGGCUUAUCAGCUUGUUGGUGGGGUAGUGGCUUACCAAGGCUUUGACGGGUAGCCGGCCUGAGAGGGUGACCGGCCACAUUGGGACUGAGAUACGGCCCAGACUCCUACGGGAGGCAGCAGUGGGGAAUAUUGCACAAUGGGCGAAAGCCUGAUGCAGCAACGCCGCGUGCGGGAUGACGGCCUUCGGGUUGUAAACCGCUUUCGCCUGUGACGAAGCGUGAGUGACGGUAAUGAGUAAAGAAGCACCGGCUAACUACGUG